UGUGUAGGCGGAACAUUAAGUCAGUGGUGAAAUCUUUCAGCUUAACUGGAAAACUGCCAUUGAUACUGCUGUUCUUGAGUUCAGUUGAGGUGGGCGGAAUGUGUAAUGUAGCGGUGAAAUGCUUAGUUAUUACACAGAACACCGAUUGCGAAGGCAGCUCACUAAACUGUUACUGACGCUGAGGCACGAAAGCGUGGGGAGCGAACAGGAUUAGAUACCCUGGUAGUCC
rnacentral:rRNA from 1 species